GAUUAAGCUACAAAGAGUGCAUGGUGAAUGCCUUGGCAUCAGGAGUCGAAGAAGGUCGUGAUAAGCUGCGAUAAGCUUGGGGUAGGCGCACAUAGCCCGAGAACCCAAGAUCACCGAAUGAGGCAACUCACUGGGGUAACCCCCAGUAUCCAUAGAUGAAUUCAUAGUCUAUUGGAGGACAAACCCAGGGAACUGAAACAUCUAAGUACCUGGAGGAAGAGAAAGAAACAUCGAUUUCCCUAGUAGCGGCGAGCGAACGGGAAAGAGCCCAAACCGGAAACUUGUUUCCGGGGUUGCGGACGAUCCGUCAAGUACGGUUAUUCUUUAGCAGAGCACAGCUGGAAAGCUGGACCAUAGGGGGUAAUAGUCCCGUAUGCGAAAAAGAAGACCCCGAAGGAUCGAUCCAGAGUACCACGAGACACGUGAAACCUUGUGGGAAGCAGGGAGGACCACCUCCCAAGGCUAAAUACUACCUGAUGACCGAUAGUGAAGCAGUACCGUGAGGGAAAGGUGAAAAGAACCCCGGGAGGGGAGUGAAAGAGAACCUGAAACCGUGCACUUACAACCGGCCAGAGCACGAUUAGAACGUGUGAUGGCGUGCUUUUUGUAGAACGAGCCAACGAGUUACGAUAUGCAGCAAGGUUAAGCACUUUAGGUGCGGAGCCGAAGGGAAACCGAGUCUUAAGAGGGCA
rnacentral:rRNA from 1 species